rnacentral:rRNA from 1 species
UACGUAGGGGGCGAGCGUUGUCCGGAAUUAUUGGGCGUAAAGCGUGUGUAGGCGGUUCGUUAAGUCUACUGUGAAAUCCUGGGGCUCAACCCUGGACGUGCAGUGGAUACUGCAGGGCUAGAGGGUGGUAGAGGCGAGGGGAAUUCCGAGUGUAGCGGUGAAAUGCGCAGAUAUUCGGAGGAACACCAGUAGCGAAGGCGGCUCGCUGGGCCACACCUGACGCUGAGACGCGAAAGCGUGGGGAGCGAACAGG